AGUGAACGCUGGCGGUAGGCCUAACACAUGCAAGUCGAACGGCAGCACAGUAAGAGCUUGCUCUUACGGGUGGCGAGUGGCGGACGGGUGAGGAAUACAUCGGAAUCUACUUUUUCGUGGGGGAUAACGUAGGGAAACUUACGCUAAUACCGCAUACGACCUACGGGUGAAAGCAGGGGAUCUUCGGACCUUGUGCGAUUGAAUGAGCCGAUGUCGGAUUAGCUAGUUGGCGGGGUAAAGGCCCACCAAGGCGACGAUCCGUAGCUGGUCUGAGAGGAUGAUCAGCCACACUGGAACUGAGACACGGUCCAGACUCCUACGGGAGGCAGCAGUGGGGAAUAUUGGACAAUGGGCGCAAGCCUGAUCCAGCCAUACCGCGUGGGCGAAGAAGGCCUUCGGGUUGUAAAGCCCUUUUGUUGGGAAAGAAAAGCAGCAGGUUAAUACCCCGCUGUUCUGACGGUACCCAAAGAAUAAGCACCGGCUAACUUCGUG
rnacentral:rRNA from 1 species